CAUGCGUAGUCGGCCCAAGCACGCUCUUUCUCCAUCCCUGCCCCGCCUCCUCUCUUCUCAACCGCUUUUCAAGAGCUGUUGGGGAAGUGUUUGGGCUUCUGACUCAAAGUGAAAGGACUGAGUAUAGGGAGUUGAACAUCACCGCUGUGACCACCUCUCUGGAUUUGUGACUACCUACAUAACUCAGUAUCCCUGAAAGUUAUAAUUCAGAUGUGUGAACUGGGCAUGGAUCAAUUACUGGAUAUCAAUUGAGUAUCAAGGAGCAAAAAAUACAAGAAGCAGUUCCAAAUUCAACAAGCUGACAGGGAAGAAACAGGACUAGUUACAUUUUAACAAGACUUUUUCUGCCUUCUUACACAUGAGCCAGAUUGCCAUAUUGCCCCUCAAGAUUUCAGAGGGUAAACCUACAGAGAUGAGGUUGGAAAAGACAACAUUGGUAGAAUUGUCAGAAAAGACCAUGAACCAUAAUGAGAUGUCACAGCCUGGAGUGACAUGUAAAGUAGCUUCAAAAACAUUCUUCUUGGUGUCAAUGUUAACAAUAAAGUAGAAGGAAAUGAAUCUUUGCCAAGAAAAUCCCAUGGACAUUAUGGUCCACAGGAUCAUGAAGAAUCAGACAAGGCUGAAUAAUUGAAUGACAACAAAGAGAUGAGAGAGAGUGGGAGGAAGGGAGAGAGAAAAAUUUGGAGCACAGGGUUUUACAAAGACCCAGAGAACUGGAGUGACUUGCCUAAAAUCACCUGAAUACUGUGUGUCAGGAUAAAGGCUUGAAAAGAGAUACUUGAUUCCAAAUCCAGAACUUUUGCCACUGUUCCAGGCCAUGUAGACCUUUAAAGGAAGCUAUGAGAAACUACUUUCCCUUCUUGAUUAUGAAUGAUCGUGAAAUGGAGAAUGAAAGUUUCUCCAUCUUUUCUCCUCCAUGAACUGCAGGUGUGUAAAAUUUUUCCCUUUUGAUAUGAUUUUCAUUGUGCAGCAUGAUGAACACUGAAAUAUAUUUAUAAGAAUUGAACAUAUUUAAGCUAUAUCAGAUUGCUUUCUUUCUUGGGAAGUGAGGAGAAAAUGAGGGAGAAAUAUUUGGAAUACAGGAUUUUGCAGAGUUAUUGGAGAAACUGUUCAUGUUUGGCCCAUUUAAUGUGACUCCUACAAUGCCUCAGAGGUCACUGAAGUUUGUGUGUAUAAUGAGCUCCUGGUUCUGCUCAUUUCAUCUCCUAAUACAAAUAAAAUAGAAGAAAAAGAAGAUAUUACACUUUCAUGGGACAGUAAAAAUAUAUUUCAGUUUGUCCCAGGAGGACUCCUAUUCUGCCAGUCUACAUUUGACCUGAGGAACAAUUGUUUAUUUAUUGUGAGGAAAUCUUGAGAUCUUGGAAUUUUCUGACCACUAUCUUCCCAGAAUCCUCCUGGGAACUCCUUUUUAAUUUGAAUUCCAGAGCAGAUGUCCAUGGUCUUGAGGCACAUCUUUGCAAAUAGAAGACAUCUUAUGAGAAUGAAUGUAUAACAGAAUGAAGAAGAGACAUUCCAUUUGAGAAUGAAUUUUGGAAGACACUUUGGGAAAUAUUUGGAGCAAGCAGCUGGGUCAGAUAAGUAUACUGAGGCCCCAUGAAGAUUUGCUCAGUCAUACAGAUAGAAAUUUUAUUGGCACUGGCAGGGAAAGGAAACCUUCUAUAUGGAUCUUUGCCCUCAAGGAACUUCCAAAUCAGUUAAUGGAGAAGUAGAUAUCUUUUGCACAUCAACAUUUCAAUAUAUUGUGGAUCAGCACAAGAGAUUAAAUGGGAAUUUUCUUUGGAGUUUUGUAGAAGCUAUAGAUAACACAGAAAGUUUAAGGACAGAAAUGAGUGAAAAACUCUGUGUGUGUGUGUGUGUGUGUGUGUGUGUGUGUGUGUGGAGAGAGUAUUGUAUAAUAUUAGCAUUUCAUAUUUUAAAACCAGGCUUUUUCUCUGGCACAAAGGGAGAUCCAAAAAUUUUUACAAAUUUUCUGGUUGUAGGGGGUGGUGCUACAUUCCUAACUCCUGCAAUGUAGAAGAGAAAACUGUAGCUAAUAUAAAUAAAAUAAUGAGAGACAAACUAAAUGCAAAAAUAAGUGAUAAAACAUUGCUAAUUUUGCCUUUACAACUCUACAUGCUUCCAUGGAAUGUGAGUUCAAUAGCAGUUGAGAAAGGAGAAUCAGCAAGAGAGAGAAACUCUGAAGUUGUGGGAUACUGGAAACAAAGCAUAUUUGGAACCGAAGCUGAUUUUCCUUCCUCUGAAGUAGUCACCGUUCAUUUAUAACAUGGUUGUUUUGUCAUUAUUGAGAAAAACAAACAGCUAGUUUGAUGGAAAAGGCCGCCCCAGUCCCCUGGGAAGGGAGAGUUCAGAUGUGAUACAAGCUGACAGAGGGUGAAAAAAUAAUUUUCAAAGUGAUAAAUUUGGGCAGCUGUGAUGGACAGCAAAGAUGGCAUCUGCCCAGAGAAGUAAAAUUCAAGGUAUCCUUUGA
rnacentral:lncRNA from 1 species